GUGAGGAAUAUUGCGCAAUGGGCGAAAGCCUGACGCAGCGACGCCGCGUGGAGGAUGAAGGCCUUCGGGUCGUAAACUCCUGUCGAGGGGGACGAAAUGGCUCCUUGCUAAUAUCAAGGAGCCUUGACUGUACCCCUGGAGGAAGCCCCGGCUAACUCCGUGCCAGCAGCCGCGGUAAUACGGAGGGGGCCAGCGUUGCUCGGAAUCACUGGGCGUAAAGGGCUCGUAGGCGGUCUGAUAAGUCCUGUGUGAAAUCCCUUGGCUUAACCAAGGAAUUGCGCCGGAUACUGUCGGACUAGAGGCCGGGAGAGGGAAGCGGAAUUCCGAGUGUAGCGGUGAAAUGCGUAGAUAUUCGGAGGAACACCGGUGGCGAAGGCGGCUUCCUGGACCGGUUCUGACGCUGAGGAGCGAAAGCUAGGGUAGCAAACAGGAUUAGAAACCCCUGUAGUCC
rnacentral:rRNA from 1 species